AAAGAAGAAGAGCUGUUACCAGUAGUCCACAGUGUUAUUAGAGACAGAAACAGGAGCUUCUCUGCUGAAGAAAGGAUUGACCUCCUGUUGCAAGUCUUCCCCUGCUCUUGCCUUCCUACGCAGUCCUAAUUUACUUUCACAAACACAUCAAGUAACACCACCAGAAGGAAUAUGUCACAGUAAUUAAAUGUGAGAAUAUGGUGUCCACAAGCUCCAGCACUCGGAAAACUAUCCACAGUAACACAUCCUGCAGACAAUCACAAAAAAAUAUUGGCAAAGAGAGAACUCACCUUUGCUCAGAUUGUGGAAAGAGUUUUGUUGACAGACAUACUCUCCAAAUUCACCAGCGCAUUCACACAGGAGAGAAACCGUAUUACUGCUCAGAGUGUGGGAAGAGUUUUAGAGAGAGCGGUACCCUCAGAUCACACCAGCGCAUUCACACAGGGGAAAAACCACAUCACUGCCCAGAGUGUGGGAAGAGUUUUACUAGACAGAUUUACCUCCAGACACACCAACGCAUUCACACAGGAGAGAAACCGUAUCAGUGCUCAGACUGUGGACAGUGUUUUACUAGACAAAUUUAUCUCCAGCUACACCAGCGCAUUCACACAGGAGAGAAACCGUAUCACUGUUCAGACUGUGGGAAGAGUUUUACUAGACAAAGUAAUCUCCAACAACACCAGCGCACUCACACAGGACAGAAACCGUAUUACUGCUCAGAAUGUGGGAAGAGUUUUAAUCAACAUAUUUCUCUGCUACAGCACCAGCGCAUUCACACAGGAGAGAAACCAUAUCACUGUUCGGAGUGUGGGAAGUGUUUUACUAGACAGAGUAAUCUCCAAGUACACCAGCGCAUCCACACAGGAGAGAAACCCUAUCAAUGCCCAGAGUGUGGACAGAGUUUUACAAGACAGAGUCACCUCCAGACACACCAGCGCAUUCACACAGGAGAGAAGCCGUAUCACUGCUCAGAGUGUGGAAGGAGUUUUAAUCAACAGAUUUCUCUGCAACAGCACUGGCGUACUCACACAGGAGAGAAACCCUAUCAGUGUUCAGACUGUGGAAAGAGUUUUACCAGACAGAUUAAUCUCCAAACACACCGGCGCAUUCACACAGAAAGUAGAGAGCUGAAAACCGAAGAGGCCUGGUCAACUUGUUAACAUCUUUGUGGAAAAAAAAAGUGUUCUCAAUAAACAUCCAAGCCUCCUUCUAAGCCCACAGCCUUGACGUCUCAGAAAGCUGAAGUGUCGUCUUCUGAGAAACAAACAGCACCACAACCAACUCUGCAGUGGAAAGGCAAAAGGGGCCAUUUUUAAAACAUCCAUCUGAACUAUGCAGUGUUUGCUGUGUGGCAUGUCAGCCUACAUCCUAGCUUGUCCUCUUCACUUCAUCACAUUGGUCCUCACAAAUUACAGGGUGUAAGUGCUAAACACCUCUCCUCAGUAGCCUCCACGUGUUUGUUCUACACUGUGUAAAGUUGUAUGCAGACCAGAUCUUGUAUACAGAUUCCUUACGAUCUUACACACACACUUUCGCACUCUUAUGAAAUCUGUUAAUAGGCCUAUCUGAUCUUUUUUAGACUGAAUUUUAUUCCAGUGGUGUAGUGGUGUUUCUACAGGCGUAUAUACUACGAUUUGUUUAAGGGAUUCCCAACCUAAUGUGCUAAUUCACUGUUUUUGAGUGAAAUAGUUUGUGCUGUGUCUUGGCUAGUACCAUUACUGAGGUAACAGAAAAUUAGCAUUAGUGGAGU